CACGUAGGGGGCAAGCGUUGUCCGGAUUUAUUGGGCGUAAAGAGCUCGUAGGCGGUUCGCUAAGUCGGGUGUGAAACCUCCAGGCUCAACCUGGAGACGCCACCUGAUACUGGUGUGACUCGAGUCCGGUAGGGGAGCGUGGAAUUCCUGGUGUAGCGGUGAAAUGCGCAGAUAUCAGGAGGAACACCGGUGGCGAAGGCGGAUCUCUGGGCCGAUACUGACGCUGAGGAGCGAAAGCGUGGGGAGCGAACAGG
rnacentral:rRNA from 1 species